CGAGGUCAUAAAUUCGGCUCCUAUUUUUUUUUUUUUUAAUUUUUUUUCCAUUUGUGUCGAGCCGCGCGCGUAGUUGAAGAGCCUGCGGAGGAGACGACAACUUCCGGUAAAUAAGUGUACUUCCGGAUUAUUUCAAGCAUCGGCCAAAGCGAAACGGAACCCGAAGCUGUCCUUGCACAAAAUCCGUCAAAUUUUUUUAUUUAAAACCAGAAGAUGUGCUAAUGUUGACAUAGAUGUUUAGCUGGAUAACUAUUCUCGAGUAUAUGUUGAUAUAAUGCACAAUACUUCGUAUGCAUAGCAUGGGAAUAC